rnacentral:rRNA from 1 species
GACGAACGCUGGCGGCGUGCCUAAUACAUGCAAGUAGAACGCUGAAGGAGGAGCUUGCUUCUCUGGAUGAGUUGCGAACGGGUGAGUAACGCGUAGGUAACCUGCCUGGUAGCGGGGGAUAACUAUUGGAAACGAUAGCUAAUACCGCAUAAUAGCAGUUGUUGCAUGACAACUGUUUGAAAGGUGCAAUUGCACCACUACCAGAUGGACCUGCGUUGUAUUAGCUAGUUGGUGGGGUAACGGCUCACCAAGGCGACGAUACAUAGCCGACCUGAGAGGGUGAUCGGCAACACUGGGACUGAGACACGGCCCAGAAUCCUACGGGAGGCAGCAGUAGGGAAUCUUCGGCAAUGGACGGAAGUCUGACCGAGCGACGCCGCGUGAGUGAAGAAGGUUUUCGGAUCGUAAAGCUCUGUUGUAAGAGAAGAACGAGUGUGAGAGUGGAAAGUUCACACUGUGACGGUAUCUUACCAGAAAGGGACGGCUAACUACGUG